CACGGGGGUUGCAAGCGUUGUCCGGAAUUACUAGGCGUAAAGGGCAGGUAGGCGGAUCCAUAAGUUUAUCGUUUAAGGCGUCGGCUUAACCGGCGUAGGGCGGUAGAUACUGUGGAUCUGGAAUGCGGUUGGGGAAGACAGAAUUCCUGGUGUAGCGGUGGAAUGCGCAGAGAUCAGGAGGAAUACCGAAGGCGAAGGCAGUCUUCCAAGCCGUUAUUGACGCUCAACUGCGAAGGUGUGGGUAUCAAACAGGAUUAGAUACCCUGGUAGUCCCUGAG
rnacentral:rRNA from 1 species